rnacentral:rRNA from 1 species
ACGCUCGACACCUACGGGAUGCAGCAGUGGGGAAUAUUGCACAAUGGGGGAAACCCUGAUGCAGCGACGCCGCGUGAAGGAAGAAGUAUCUCGGUAUGUAAACUUCUAUCAGCAGGGAAGAAAAUGACGGUACCUGACUAAGAAGCCCCGGCUAACUACGNGCCAGCAGCCGCGGUAAUCUGAGCGGGCUGGCAAGGC